rnacentral:lncRNA from 1 species
UCUGUUUUCCUUUUGUUUCAGCGAUGGUGAAGCUGACAGCUCGCUGCUUGGGUUCCUCCUUUUUUCUGAUUUGCAGGCGAGAGGGAUGAUUGAGAGGAUGAUGAUAUUAACGUGGGAUUUCUGGGUUUUCUGCUUGUAUUGAUCUCCGUUUUCGCUUUGGGUACUACUGUUUGUCUUUGUUUUGUGGGUUUUUUGUUCUCUGUUCU